AUUGAACGCUGGCGGCAUGCCUUACACAUGCAAGUCGAACGGUAGGGAGGGCUUCGGCCCUUGAGAGUGGCGAACGGGUGAGUAGGGCAUCGGAACGUACCCUGUCGAGGGGGAUAACGUAGCGAAAGUUACGCUAAUACCGCAUGAGACCUUAGGGUGAAAGUGGGGGACUGGAAACGGCCUCACGCGAUGGGAGCGGCCGAUGUCGGAUUAGCUAGUUGGUGGGGUAAAGGCCUACCAAGGCGACGAUCCGUAGCGGGUCUGAGAGGAUGAUCCGCCACACUGGGACUGAGACACGGCCCAGACUCCUACGGGAGGCAGCAGUGGGGAAUUUUGGACAAUGGGCGCAAGCCUGAUCCAGCCAUGCCGCGUGGGUGAGGAAGGCC
rnacentral:rRNA from 1 species